GACAUAAGCACUGUUUGAAAUUCUUGAGAUUCUUGUGAUCUUGAUUUGUUGAGAAUCAGAUACGGAUUACGGACACGACUGACUGAGUUACUGGAACAUCAAAGUGUGCUUCCUUAUUAUCAUCUUGGUCUCAUCACUGCAUCUCAGAUACUAUACUAAUCCAACUAGGAAUAUUCAAUUUAGGCAUACAUUGAGAAUUAAUUCUUAUUUCCUAGAAUGUUGGAUAUAAAUUUGUGUUCUAUUAGAAAUAAAAAUGAACCGUGGAAGGCCUUUCAUGGUUUCUGUUUAUGCAACUGGAUCGAUAAGGAGAUAACCCGUGAAAUGCACUUAGUUUUUUGGAUGGCAUAACUGAAUUGAUAAGGAUAGGCAACUAAAGAGAAUAAUUGAUCAUCAAACAAUAAAUAAUAUGCCACUAUCAUCCGUGUAUUAGAGGAUUGACACCUUAAUGGAAUAAGGGAGGAGGGCUGGAUAUGGUUGUGUAUGAGAAAAGAUGUUAUGAAACGAUUUGUAAACUUGUUCGUAUGAGCCUUAUAAGACAAGGCAUUACAACAUAUGAA